rnacentral:lncRNA from 1 species
AUGCAGGGGGGCUUAAACAUAAUAAAAAUUUUAACCCAGGUAAAACUUGAUGGUAUUGCACCGUCUUUGGAAGUAUAUACAAACUGGGAUAACUGUAAAGAUAUCCAAGACGCACCAGAACUUCACGUAGGGUUUAGAGGGGGAAUUACAGUAAUUACAAUCCAAACCAUGUCCCUAAUCGACGAGGACGAUGGGGUGGCGCUAAUCGAGCCAUUAACCACCGCUUCGCGCCAACCAGCAGAUCAUGUGAGCAAGAUGGAUGAGAAAAGAAAAGCAACGCGCUGUGGGAGGAAAGUUACCAACAAAUACAGAUCAGAUGAAUAUGUUGUAUCUGCACGCAAGAAUGUUCAGACUGAAAAUACAUCAAACUCAUCAGAAGGACUUCAGCCUGCAGUACAGCAAACCAGUGAAACUGGAGGUGCACCCACUUUACAGAUUUCUCUUGACAAAGCAAAACAGACAAUCGAGAUACAAAAGCAGAAGAUUCUUCAUCUUCAGGAAAAAGUUGACUCUCUGACCGAUGACAAAAACUUUCUCAGAUCAAGAUUGGAGGAUGCCCUUCUGAGGCAUGAAGCAGUUAUCUCGCCUAGACAGGCACUGACUGCAUCUUCAUCCACUACUGCUGCAUCACAGGAGAAUGAGUCCAGUGAUGAAUCUUCAGACUCCUCAGAAUCUUCAGAUUCAUCAGAAUCUGAACCAAGAGCAAAGAGGAAGAAAAAGGAUAAAAAGCGAAAAAACAAGAAGAAAUCCAAGAAACUGAAGUUUGAUUUUAGGAGAGUAAGAACCCCUGAAGACUCCAUCAAACGCUACCACAAAGUGUUACAACUGGUAAAUGGUGGUUUAAGUAAAGCUGAAGCCUACAACAAAAUGAAUGUUGACAGAAAUACGAUUGUGAUGCAAGCACCCAUUGCUGAGUUGGCAAUUGCAAAUCCUGAGGAGUACAAAGCUAUGAGAGCAACCUUUAAAAAGGGAGAAAGCAUCCAAAAAUUUGCUGGUAGCUGUCUUGCACGGUGCCUUGCUCAGCCUAAUGUAGACAUGAUAAAAAAAUUGAAAGAGAGCAGUGCCAUUCUUGACAUCUCAAAGAAGUGA